GAACCCCAUGGGCCGUGCUUACACAUGCAAGUCGAACGGGUAUCCAUCGGGCUUUGCUUGGUGGUGAGAGUGGCGAACGGGUGAGUAAUGCGUGACCGACCUGCCCCAUGCACCGGAAUAGCUCCUGGAAACGGGUGGUAAUGCCGGAUGCUCCAUCACACCGCAUGGUGUGUUGGGAAAGCCUUUGCGGCAUGGGAUGGGGUCGCGUCCUAUCAGCUUGAUGGCGGGGUAACGGCCCACCAUGGCUUCGACGGGUAGCCGGCCUGAGAGGGCGACCGGCCACAUUGGGACUGAGAUACGGCCCAGACUCCUACGGGAGGCAGCAGUGGGGAAUAUUGCACAAUGGGCGCAAGCCUGAUGCACCGACGCCGCGUGAGGGAUGGAGGCCUUCGGGUUGUAAACCUCUUUUGUUAGGGAGCAAGGCACUUUGUGUUGAGUGUACCUUUCGAAUAAGCACCGGCUAACUACGUGCCAGCAGCCGCGGUAAUACGUAGGGUGCAAGCGUUAUCCGGAAUUAUUGGGCGUAAAGGGCUCGUAGGCGGUUCGUCGCGUCCGGUGUGAAAGUCCAUCGCUUAACGGUGGAUCCGCGCCGGGUACGGGCGGGCUUGAGUGCGGUAGGGGAGACUGGAAUUCCCGGUGUAACGGUGGAAUGUGUAGAUAUCGGGAAGAACACCAAUGGCGAAGGCAGGUCUCUGGGCCGUUACUGACGCUGAGGAGCGAAAGCGUGGGGAGCGAACAGGAUUAGAUACCCUGGUAGUCCACGCCGUAAACGGUGGAUGCUGGAUGUGGGGCCCGUUCCACGGGUUCCGUGUCGGAGCUAACGCGUUAAGCAUCCCGCCUGGGGAGUACGGUCGCAAAGGCUAAAACUCAAAGACAUUGACGGGGGGCCCGCACAAGCGGCGGAGCAUGCGAAUUAAUUCGAUGCAACGCGAAGAACCUUACCUGGGCUUGACAUGUUCCCGACGAUCCCAGAAAUGGGGUUCCCUUCUGGCGGGUCACAGGUGGUGCAUGGUCGUCGUCAGCUCGUGUCGUGAGAUGUGGUAAGUUCCGCACGAGCGUAACCCUCGCCCGUGUGCAGCGGAUUGUGCGGGAAUCCCCGGGGAACCGUCGGGCUAAAUCGAAGA
rnacentral:rRNA from 1 species